rnacentral:lncRNA from 1 species
CUCCUGCCUCAGCUUCCCAAGCAGCUGGGAUUACAGGUGCAUACCUAGCUUCAUGGCUUUUUGGUGUUUUUUUUUUUUUUUUUUUUUUUUUUUUACUCCCAGACUAUCCUUGAUUGUAGGGGACUGGCCUACAGAGUUUGUACAGAGUCUGACUCUGACAGAAGGACAAACAAAGAUGAAAGAGAAAAAGAUACAGAGUUAACUUGGAAUGAGUGGACCAGGGGACUCUCUGCCUCUAGUGGACGGGAGCCCUGAGUAUUUGGCUCACUUCACCUUUGUUCAGACACAGGAGCAAGCAAUUAGAUUAAGAGAAGAUUCAUCUGCCUCCUAUUAAAUAUACCAUAUACCCAAGUGAACAACCAGACCUCAGUUGUAUAGACUGUUCUCUAGGACUUGCAAAGUACCAGCAUGCAUACAUGCUGGCAAAGUAGAGGUCACUUAGGCCUUGAUCUUCAUUAUCUGGUCCCCUACACUUGAGGAUCCCCUGACUGGGCAAUCUUUUAUCCAUUUCUUUGUUAUAUUCUUCCUGCCCCUUGCCUUCUUCAAAUUCCACUUUCCAUUGUUUCCUGCUACCCUGCAGCACCCAUACAAAUCCCUCCAAUCACUGCCAUCUUGGCUUCUUAGAUUUUUUUCUUUCUUCUUGGCUGUCAUUUACCUCAAUCUAUGCUGUUCCUCUUGACCUCUUUACCAAACUUCCUGCCUAUUCUACAGAAGUUCAUUUCUUCCCAUUCUCUCUCCUGUCCCUGAUUCAACACAGUUUUUCUUCUUCUUUGACCUUCAUAGGCAAGAGAUGGUUGGGGAGGAAUCCCUGGACCGCCUGCUGGGGAUGCGGCCCACAGAUCUCCAAAUCCUUUUCACUCAAGUGCAGCAGCGACUGAAUGAAAACUUGACCUUGUCAAAAGAAGAUAAGCCUCAUUUUUCUUUAUAUGUCCCAAGGGCUUCUGUAUCUAGGUCCCCUUCCAUACAACCUGCCACUGAAGAAGUUGAAGUCAAGCACAGCAAAGGCCAAAGACGAGGUCGAGCAGGGGGCAGAAAACAUACCCGAAAAUUGUUGCGAGGUCUCAGAAAGAUGAAAGAAGGAGACUCUAAACAGAUGAGCACAGAGCCAGGCCCCAUAGAAGCUGAAACUGAUCAGAGUGAAACUGCACCACUUGAGAUGGAGGACACAACCUUCCACACAAGGUCUUCUGUCAGUAGUUUAAAGGGCUUUCAAGAUGUUGAACUUUUGGAGAGAGAGGUCUCAGAGGGUCACACUGAUCUGCCCCUGAAGAUGCUAAGGAAAAUGCGUGACACAAGAGUCAAGAAAGCUGCAGCACAGAAACCCAUAAAGAAGCACAAGAAAAGAAAAGAAGAAAAAGAUUUAGUUGAGGAAGCUUUGCCAACAAUAAUAGAAGAACCAGUAAAGAAAGUAAUUAAAACUCAGGGGCGGGGUGCUGCUGGAAUGCCUGGCCAAAAGGCUGGAGCUGGUGUCUCAUGGAGGGAGGCUCUAUGUCGUCUUAUGACCCUGAGGAUAUCCGGAUCCCAAACAAAAAUGUCAGAAGAUCUAAACACUGAGUUGGUGACUAUGGCUCAGGAGAUUCUGGCAGAUCGGCAGCCCAGCUGGGAGCUCUUUCAGGAGAUCUGCCCCUUGCUGAAGAAAGAAAGCAAGGAUAUGCUUGAGGACCUUGCCUGGGAUGCAGUGUGGCCAGAGGAGAAACCAACUUUUAUCUAUGAAGAAGCAAUUAGAAAGGAUAUGGUUAUUAGAGACAAAAGAGAAAUACCAGAGGAGCAAAAAGAGCAAGUGCAAAAGGAAGAAAGGGAUGUGCAGGGCUUGCAGGAAAUAAUUCCAAGAAAAGGCAAGAAAAAGAAAGUUAGCUUUUCAGAAGCAGGUGACCUAAGUAAGAGAAAACAAACAUCAAAGAAGGAAGAAAAGAAAUCCUCUAAGAAAGUGUCUACAGAAGAGAGGAAGACAAUACAAGAAGAAAGUAGAAUAGGUGAAAAGGAGAAGAAAAUGACCAAAGAAAAGAAAGAUGUGAGUGAGAAAGAGGAAAUGACAAAAGCAGAAGAGAGAGUAGAAGAAAAACUAGAGAAAGAAGAGAAAGUAGAUGAAAAACCAGUCACUGCUGAAGCAAAGCUGUUUUGGAAAGAGUGGAAGAACUCAUGGGCUCAGUGGAAACGGGCCCACAAUGACAGAAGGAUAUCCUGGGAGGAAUGGAUAAAAGACUGGAGCAAAGGCCAUCUUCAGGAAGAGAAGAAACUGCCCAAGGCUUACGAGAAGAUAAUCCCAGAGGAGAAACAACAGGAGUGGGACAAAAGGAAGCUGAGCUUGGAUGAGUGGAGACAGGUCUGGGAAAAUGUACUGUCACCCAGGUCCAAGGGUAAGAAAGAAUUGACUUUAGAGAAAGAAAUGUUCACAGAGUGGGAAGAAGUAUUUAAGGAAUUGGAAGAAGAAAGAGAAGAUGAAAAAGAAGAGCUGCCACUCACAGAAGAGCAGAUCAAGGUCAGAAUACAGAAAAAAGCCCAUUAUGAAACACAGGAAGCCAAAGAGGAGAAAAGACUAGCACAAUUAGAAGAGCACAUAGCACCAGAACAAGAGAAACUUGAAAAAGAAGACAGAAAGCUGGCCCAGGAAGAGAGAAAACUUGCCCAAGAAUAUAUGAAAAUGCCCCCCAAAGAUAAGAAAAUGGCUCACAUAGAAAGUAAGUUUGCCCAGAAAGAGGAAAAAUUGGCCCAAAGAGAAAAGGAGUUAAGCCACAAAGCAGAGCAAUUGGCCCACAAAAGGAAGAAACUGGCCAAGAAACUGAAGAAAAUUGCUCCAGAAGAAGAGAUACUAGCAAAGAAAAUAGAGAAAGCUAUUGAGGUUAAAAUACUAUUGGCCCAGAAAGGGGAAACACUGAAGCAGAAGGAGCAAAGUCUGGAAUGGCAAGGAAAUGAACUAGAGGAACUAGAAGAACUGGAAAAGAACAUGGAAGACCUGGCUUUAAAAGAAGUUGAACUGGACCAGGAAGGAGAGGGACUGGUUGAGGAGGAGGAGGAACUGGCUCAGGAAGAGAAGUUACUGGUUUGGAGAGAGGAGACUCUGGCUAAGAAAGAGAAAGCACUGGCCCAGGAAGAAGAGCUGCUGGUGCAGGAAGAAGAGAAACUGGCCCAGGACAAGGAAAAAAACCCCAGGGAAGCAAGAAGAUUGGCUCAGAAAAGGCAGAAACUGAUAGAGAAAAAAGAGAAACUGGUCCAGGAAAGGGAAAAACUGGUCCAGAACAAGAAAGAAUUCACCCAGAAAAAGGAGAGGCUGGCCCAGAAGGAAGAGAAUCUGGCUCAGAAAAGGAAGAAUUUGGCUCAGGAAAAGGAAAAACUGGCUCAAAGAAAAAAGUAUCUCCAUCAUGUCAAAGAAGAACUCCUCCAGGAGAGAGCGCGAUUAGCUCAGGUAAAGCAGAAAAUGGGUACGUACAAGGAGACCCUGGAUCAGGUAGAGGAGAAGCUGAAACAGGAAAAGGAGAUAGUGCUCAAGAAGAAGGAGAAGCUGGAUGCUAUAGAGAAGAAACUGGUUCAAGCAGGUGGAAUUCUGGCUAAAAAUCAGGAGAAAGUGGCCCAGGAAAAAAUGGAAUUAUCUUUGGAGAAGAAGGCAGUGUUCCAAGGAAGGAACUUGCUCAGAGAUGAGCUUGAUAUUGCUAAGAAAGAAAUGGCAUUGAACAUGAAAAGGCAGAUGGUGGUACUCCAAAACCUAAUCGGUGAUGAAAGGAAAAUAACCCAGGAAGAAAUAAAGAUGACAAAGAUGAAGCGAUCACUCAUUGUCAAGGAGGGCACACUGAGCAAGGAACAGAGCAGACUUGAUAUCAAAGAGCUGAAUUUUUCUGAGCAAGAAUCAAAACUUGCCACAGAUGAAAAGAAACUGGCUAAGAAGCAGAGAAAAAUGGCCAAGGAAAUAAGAACUAUUAGAAAUCAAGAGAAAACAAUGGCAGAGGAAGAAAGUAGAUUGGCCAAGGGACAGAGAGAAGUCAUACAGGCUGUGGAAGAGGAAGAGGAAGGAGUAAUAGAGGAGGAAGAGAAAAUCCUGUCUCUUAAACAAAGGCAGAAAAAAAGAAAACAAUCAAAAGAAAUUGAUACCCCAAAGGGAAAGUUUUAUGGCAAAGUGGAUGAGACUGAAAGUGAAGAGAGAAUUUCUAAGGAAAUAGAAAGUCUGUUAAAAGAAGUAGGACAAGAAAGUUUGUCUGAAGAGGAGGAGGAAGAAGAGGAGGAAGAGGAAGAAGAAGAUAUAGAAGAGGAAGAGGUGGAGGAAGAGGAGGAGGAAGAGGAGGAGGAAGAGGAGGAGGAAGAGGAGGAGGGGGAAGAAGAGGAUAAGAAGAGGAAGGACAAGGAAAGGAAGAGGAAGGAGAAGGAAAAGAAGAAAAGGAAAGUGGAAGAGGAGGAGGGUUUUGAGGAAGAGAGAGAAAGCAUGAGUGAGGAAGAGUUGGAAAGUCUGAGAGAGACAGAAGAGAGAAGCUCAAUAGAAUCGAGCAAAGAAAAAGACAUUUUAAAAAGGGCAAAACUAUUUAAGUUACAAGAAGAAAGAGGAAAGGACCUACAAAGAAAGGAAGUGGUCCCUUCUAUUGAAGAAAGAUUCCUUGGGGUCAAAAGCAAGGAUAUAAAAUGGGGAGUUCUAAAAAGCUUUUCCAGACAAGUGAUCUCAGUACCUAGGGAUAUGGGAUGGAUGCCACAAAUGCCACUGCCUGCCAAACAAAUAUCCUUGGAAGGAAAAACUACAGCACUCCAGGCAUGGAGGACAUUCUUACAGAUAAAGUUAAAGGAUAAAGAAAGAGAACUGUUGGAGAAAUAUAAACCCAUGCCUCUACAUGUUUUGGAUACAAGUUUAGUGUCCCAAGAUCAGGACGUAGAGACAUCAUUUGUGUCUGACACAUUUAGGAAAACCAUGGAGGCUCACAAAUUCCUACAUAGACUCCCAGAUGCCAGGUAUAAGUGGCUUUUGCAGCAUCAUCCAGCUCUGAAAGAACGAAGGAGAGUACAACGACCCCUUCCCCAGAUCCUUGCUGACAAACAACAUCCAGAGGUAGAGGUAAGCCUCUCAGAUGUAGAGUGGAUCCGCCAGGUCCUAGAAGAGAUGGAAGCCGGAGAACAGCUUUCCAGAGAUAGCUUUCACAGACUGUGUCAACUCCUCAAAGACCUGACCUCAGAGGGAAACUUAGAGUGGCUACGUCCGGCCAUGCUUGAAGCCAUUGUGCACCAUCACAUGCAGGCUCUGGAAUCCCAAAGCACAAGGGCCUCAAAGACCAGUGGGGAGUCCAUGGGUCUGAAACACCUGAAAGUGAUUCCUCCUAUAAAAGGAAAGGAAAAGGAAAGUUGGCUAAAACCUUUGAUUGUUCCUACACCAAAGUCCUCAUUACCUUCCAAGAGGAUUAUAGACCCAAAUGCUACAAAUUGGCAUCUUUUAGGCGAGCCUUUCAGGAGUACACAGAUACAGCAGUUAUCCAAUGCCCUCAGAGAAAUGCAGACACAUUUUUAUCCUGUCACAAGAGACCUUUUCACAGGUGCCCAUGCCUCUGUGGACAAACAAACCCUGGCACUUAUGUUUCAGAAGGAACUUAGGGCUUUUAAGGGUAAGGACAAGCUGCCCAAAUUGGAGAAGAAGACACAGCCUAUCUCACAAAAGAAGGAAAAGGCACCUCCAUGGGAGACAUUUGUGGCACUGUACCAUGUUUUGCGGAUGCUCCAGCAGCGAUACGCCAAAGACACUGCUGCUUGGAUGGAACAGUUCCAUCAGCUCAUGGACUUGUACCAGCUCAAGUCCCCCAGAAUCCAGAGGCUGCUACAAGAUCUGCUACUGAGAGAGGAGCCUCAACCCAAACAGAUCAUCUACAAAGAGGCCCUGAAUGCCACUGAGCUAGUACCCGGGGAACGGGUGUUCUACUGCUUGGUUUGUGGUGGCUCUCAUACCCCAAGAAGCCCUCUUGGGUUCCAGGAUGUGCUACCUCUCCCUGGACAGAAUAACGUGCACACCUCCCUUCCUGUAGGUAUUGCCAAGUAUGGAAUCUUGGAACUUGCCUGGAAGAGCCUGCCCCAAGCUGAUAUUCACCUCACUACAAAUUUUCCAACAUCAUUAUUAUCACUGCCAAAUCUGGGUAUGGCUAAAGGCCAGGACUUUUCAUUCUCAACUGGAGAAAGGGCUGCUCAUCAGACUCUAGACCUGUAA